rnacentral:rRNA from 1 species
GACGAACGCUGGCGGCGUGCCUAAUACAUGCAAGUCGAACGCAGUGGGGACGGGUGAGUAACCCGUGGGUAACCUUCCAUUAGAGGGGAUAACAGUGGGAAACAGGUGCUAAAUCGACACUGAUGGCUGGACCGGCGGUGCAUUAUCUAGUUGGAGGGGUAAGGGCUCACCAAGGCCACGAGGCAUAGCCGACCGGAGAGGUGGAUCGGCCACACUGGGACUGAGACACGGCCCAGCCUCCUACGUGAGCCAGCAGGAGGGAAUCUUCGGCAAUGGACGAAAGGCUGACCGAGCAACGCCGCGUGAGUGAAGAAGGUUUUCGGAUCGUAAAACUCUGUUGUUAGAGAAGCGGUAUCUAACCAGAAAGCCACGGCUAACUACGUGCCAGCAGCCGCGGUAAUUC